rnacentral:rRNA from 1 species
GACGAACGCUGGCGGCGUGCUUAACACAUGCAAGUCGAACGGAAAGGCCCUGCUUUUGUGGGGUGCUCGAGUGGCGAACGGGUGAGUAACACGUGAGUAACCUGCCCUUGACUUUGGGAUAACUUCAGGAAACUGGGGCUAAUACCGGAUAGGAGCUCCUGCUGCAUGGUGGGGGUUGGAAAGUUUCGGCGGUUGGGGAUGGACUCGCGGCUUAUCAGCUUGUUGGUGGGGUAGUGGCUUACAAAGGCUUUGACGGGUAGCUGGCCUGAGAGGGUGACCGGCCACAUUGGGACUGAGAUACGGCCCAGACUCCUACGGGAGGCAGCAGUGGGGAAUAUUGCACAAUGGGCGGAAGCCUGAUGCAGCAACGCCGCGUGCGGGAUGACGGCCUUCGGGUUGUAAACCGCUUUCGCCUGUGACGAAGCGUGAGUGACGGUAAUGGGUAAAGAAGCACCGGCUAACUACGUG